AUGGCCACCGGAGGAGACGCCGGGGGUGGUGGUGGUGGGGAGAAGGGAAGGAGGAAGAAGGUGGAGCUGCUGCAGGAGGCCAUUCAUGGGCUCCUGGAGGAGAAAAGGGGCAAGCAGCGACACCAAGGGGAGGAGGGCGCCAUGGAUCAUGAGGAGGAUCUCUUCCUCUCCUCGUUGCUCUCCAAGUUGGACACGCUGGAAAACGAUGUCGAUCCGGACAGUGCCGAACUGAACUCCAUCAAUCCUCACCCGGAGAGCGGCGAGGAGGCGGGGCCAGGCGACGUGGCGAAAGACCUGGGCAAGAUCAAGAGGCAGAACAUGAUCACCCACAUCCUGCUGGGCACGGUGAUGGUGAUGAUCGCCGCGUGGCAGUUCAACGAGGUGUCGUUCCUCCUCGCGGUGCAGAAGAAGCUGACCAACCCUUUCAAGUCCGUCGGGGACAUGGUCAAGAGUAGCCUCAAGAUAGGGAAGAAGCCGGUGGUCGAGGCGAUCGAGGCGUCGCCUCUGCCCCCUGUCGGCGUCCCGGACGUUGCUCGGGCUGAUCUGCCGAUGCUAGCCAUCGGCCAUGGUGAUAGCUAG
rnacentral:rRNA from 1 species